UUUUUUUUAAUCAGCAGAGGAUAAUGCAAGUGUUUAACAGAUGCUUCACUAUUAAACUAUUUUUUUCCCCAAGUCUCAAAUAUUGAAGAAUCUCUAACCAGGGACAGCAGCCCCGAUGAAGACCUCAGGCGAUUGCGAAGUGCGGGCACCUCGAUUCCCCGAAUCUGUAGUGUGGCUGGUAUCGGUGUUCCCCUGGUUUAACUAGCCUGUUUGAUGGGGAAAUUGAGGCAGAGAAAUCAAGACGUUUGCUGCAGGUCGUGCAGGCUAUGAAUGGAGCUGGAAUGUGAACGCAGGCCAUGUGACUCCAGAGCCCAUGUUCUUGAACUCUUAGGAAGACAGCAGCAAUGCACCUGGUGCAGCAGCUGCUUAGCUGGAGUGGCUGACAAGGCUGGGAGAGGGUCCUGUUCCUCCAUGGAGUGGCUGCCGAGACAUUGCUUACACCGAAGCUGCUUCUAUUGCUGAAAUACGGAUUGUUAUUCUUUUCCCCUCCAUGUUGAACAUUAUACUCUUCUGUUCUUUCCUAUUCUCUUCUUCCCUUCCAGAUGGCUUCUAGGGUUUUUAUGAUUCUGUAAUUCUAGGAAGAAAGGAUAAUAAAAGUUGUAACGUGAGUGUGCAAAAAACCCCUAAUUUCCCAUCACCUACACAUACCUGUUUCCUAGAUGUUUCAGGAAAAAUUGUGACU